AGACUGUAUAAGAAAUAAUGUCCGUUUUUGGGAUCAUCUUUGUCCAUGGCACUCACCGUUUGAAUGACCUUGGCCGGGUUUUCCAUUUUCACA